UACGAAGGGUGCUAACGUUAUUCGGAAUUAUUGGGCGUAAAGGGUACGCAGGCGGUACGCUAAGUCAAUCGUUAAAUCUCCCGGCCUAACCGGGAACAAGCGGUAGAUACUGGCGUGCUAGAGAAUGGAAGAGGGAAGUGGAAUUCUUGGAGUAGAGGUAAAAUUCGUAGAUCUCAAGAGGAACACCAAUGGCGAAGGCAGCUUCUUGGUCCAUUUCUGACGCUGAGGUACGAAAGCGUGGGGGGCAAACAGG
rnacentral:rRNA from 1 species